AGAGUUUGAUCCUGGCUCAGAUUGAACGCUGGCGGCAUACCUUACACAUGCAAGUCGAACGGCAGCACGGGAGCAAUCCUGGUGGCGAGUGGCGAACGGGUGAGUAAUGUAUCGGAACGUACCUUUCAGUGGGGGAUAACGUAGCGAAAGUUACGCUAAUACCGCAUAUUCUGUGAGCAGGAAAGCAGGGGAUCGCAAGACCUUGCGCUGAUUGAGCGGCCGAUAUCAGAUUAGCUAGUUGGUGAGGUAAAGGCUCACCAAGGCGACGAUCUGUAGCGGGUCUGAGAGGAUGAUCCGCCACACUGGAACUGAGACACGGUCCAGACUCCUACGGGAGGCAGCAGUGGGGAAUUUUGGACAAUGGGGGCAACCCUGAUCCAGCCAUGCCGCGUGAGUGAAGAAGGCCUUCGGG
rnacentral:rRNA from 1 species